rnacentral:lncRNA from 1 species
AGAAAAGAAGUGGAGAAUGAAGGCUGAAGACAGAGGAAAAGGAAGAAAAAUAUUCUAGUGUGAAAUUCUGGAGCAAGAGGGCCUGUGAUAAGGAGGAGGAGGACCAGGACAUCCCUGCAGAGGAGCUGGCUCUGGGAGGUGGAAAGGUCUAGGGCAAAGAUUGCCAGAUGGCCUCUACCUCGAGCCCUUGGGGACACUUCGUCUUCAGCUGUGCUGUUAAAGUCAUGGGACAUGAAUACCUGCAGCCUGUGGGACUCGCCAUCCUCUUUAUUGUUCUUAUGUCCCUACUGCUUGUACCAGGAUUGCAGACUCUCUCCUGUGAGUCUGCUUGUGAUCUUCCUAGAGGAACACUCCCUGCAUCUUCCAGAGCACAAAGAGACCUCAAAAUCCCUUCCAGCCUUCACACUAGCAGUGCAGCAACUGAAAUCCUCACAUCCUUCAGCCUAGAGUGAGGUUGCAAGGUGUAUCAGUCCUGUGAAGGAGGUAUGAACCAGAGCCAAAGGUAAGGAAGUGCUUCUAGAGUACAAAGCCCAUUUACCAAGGUGGGAUAGGAUUUCAAAGUUUUGUAAGUGAUUCUCUCUCUUUCCC